UGGGGAAUAUUGGGCAAUGGGCGCAAGCCUGACCCAGCAACGCCGCGUGAAGGAAGAAGGCUUUCGGGUUGUAAACUUCUUUUCUCAGGGACGAAGAAAGUGACGGUACCUGAGGAAUAAGCCACGGCUAACUACGUGCCAGCAGCCGCGGUAAUACGUAGGUGGCAAGCGUUAUCCGGAUUUAUUGGGUGUAAAGGGCGUGUAGGCGGGAGCGCAAGUCAGAUGUGAAAACUCAGGGCUCAACCCUGAGCCUGCAUUUGAAACUGUGUUUCUUGAGUGCUGGAGAGGCAAUCGGAAUUCCGU
rnacentral:rRNA from 1 species